rnacentral:rRNA from 1 species
GUGAGUAACACGUGGAUAACCUACCUAUAAGACUGGGAUAACUUCGGGAAACCGGAGCUAAUACCGGAUAAUAUAUUGAACCGCAUGGUUCAAUAGUGAAAGACGGUUUUGCUGUCACUUAUGGAUGGAUCCGCGCCGCAUUAGCUAGUUGGUAAGGUAACGGCUUACCAAGGCAACGAUGCGUAGCCGACCUGAGAGGGUGAUCGGCCACACUGGAACUGAGACACGGUCCAG